UUGACCUCGGAUCCAGGUAGGGAUACCCGCUGAACUUAAGCAUAUCAAUAAGCGGAGGAA
rnacentral:rRNA from 1 species